CCCUGAGCAGGACAUUAUAUACAGCACAGUGAGCCACACCAGAGAAACAGCACAGCAGCAGGCCCCAUUUCCUGAAGAUAAUGAUGAUGUCACAUACAGCACUGUCAUCCCCCAGCACAAGGCCCAACUAAAAGUACAGGCCAAGGCAGCAGAACCAGAUGAUAAUGUGGUCUACAGCUCACUAGCUCUACAGGUGACCACACAGAGGGCAGCAGCAGCACAGCAGUGACUGACUGAGUGUCCUUGGUGGAGUCCUUAUCCUGGAAGGACAGCCCACUCCCCUCUCCUGGGUCUCAACAUCUAUCUGCCUCCAAUAUGCUUCUGUCAUACCUCUUAACCCACCCCAGA